UGGCAGACGGCUGAGUAAUACAUGGGAAUCUACCUCAAACUCGAGAAUAGCCCAUCGAAAGGUGGCGUAAUAGGCGAUAGUUCCGUUUACGGUAAAGCUCCGGCGGUUUGAGAUGAGCCCAUGUCCUAUCAGGUUGUUGGUGGGGUAAUUGCCUACCAAGCCUAUGACGGGUAGCUGGUUUGAGAGGAUGAUCAGCCAGACUGGGACUGCGAUACGGCCCAGACUCCUACGGGAGGCAGCAACUAGGAAUCAUGCGCAAUGGACGAAAGUCUGACGCUGCGACGUCGCGUGAGGGAUGAAGGUCUUCGGAUCGUAAACCUCUUUUAUCUGGGAACAAGUUCUGAGUGUACCAGAUGAAUAAGUGCCUGCCAACCACGUGCCAGAAGCAUCGGUAAUGCGUGGGGCACGAGCGUUAUCCGGAUUUACUGGGCGUAAAGAGAUGCGUAGGCGCCUUUUUAAGUCACUUGUAAAAUCUCCCCGCUCAACGGGGAAACUGCAAGUGAUACUGAAUUGGUUGAGUCAAGUAGUGGAGAGGGGAAUUCCUGGUGGAGCGGUUAAAUGCGUUGAUAUCAGGAGGAAUACCAAGUGCGAAGGCACCUCUCUGGACUUGUACUGACGCUAAGGCUCGAAAGUGUGGGGAGCAAAACGGAUUAGAUACCCGUGUAGUCCACACUGUAAACGAUCCCUGCUAGAUGUUUG
rnacentral:rRNA from 1 species